AGGAGCAACAGCCCCAGUGGCGGGGCCGCUCUGGAAACCUGGAUUCAGCCCCCGCAGGAACUCCGGAGCUCUCCGUCUGCAGGGCCUGGAGGCUCCGAGCGGGG
rfam:Canis lupus familiaris chromosome 8, whole genome shotgun sequence.